GCAAGUCGAACGGUAAGGCUUCUUCGGAAGCACACGAGUGGCGCACGGGUGCGUAACACGUAUGCAACCUACCCUUUAGAGGGGGAUAGUCGCGGGAAACUGCGAAUAAUACCCCAUAUGCUCACGGAAUGGCAUCUUUCUGUGGGGAAAGCUCCGGCGCUAAAGGAUGGGCAUGCGUCCCAUUAGUUAGUUGGUGAGGUAACGGCUCACCAAGACUCCGAUGGGUAACUGGUCUGAGAGGAUGAUC
rnacentral:rRNA from 1 species